rnacentral:rRNA from 1 species
CGGGGCUUAAAGUCUUGUAAUUGGAAUGAUGGGAAUUUAAACCUCUUCCAGAGUAUCAAUUGGAGGGCAAGUCUGGUGCCAGCAGCCGCGGUAAUUCCAGCUCCAAUAGCGUAUAUUAAAAUUGUUGCAGUUAAAAAGCUCGUAGUUGAAUUUCUGCUGCAUUGCUUGUGUCCCUCUGCGGUCUGUGCAUGUGGCUUUUUUCGGACGGAGUUUCUUUGUCUGAAUGUUUACUUUGAGAAAAUUAGAGUGCUCAAAGCAGGCUUUCGCCUUGAAUAGUUUAGCAUGGAAUAAUAAAGUAGGACUUUGGUUCUAUUUUGUUGGUUUUAGGUACCAAAGUAAUGGUUAAUAGGAACAGUUGGGGGCAUUCGUAUUUAACUGUCAGAGGUGAAAUUCUUAGAUUUGUUAAAGACGAACUACUGCGAAAGCAUUUGCCAAGGAUGUUUUCAUUAAUCAAGAAC